GUGAGACAGACGGGCAGACAGGCACAGGGGAAGGAGACACAAACCCACAAACCUCUCCGAAACAGGAGCGCUUUUUUCUUCCGGGACAGCGGUUUUGGGGAGACAUCAGUGCGAAGCACAGCUAGAGAGGAAGAGACAGGUGUGAGGCAGAGGGCAGGAGGCAUGGGCUGCUGCUACAGCCGGGGCCAGGAGGGCGAGGGCGAGAAGCAGAAGAGCUCAGACUGCAGCGGCUGCAGGAAGUGCUGCCUGCAGACCAGGAAGUGCGUGAUGAGCCCGGAAUGCGGCCGCGCGCUGCAGAUCGCCAACACCUGCGCCGCCUGCGGCAUGUGCAUCCGCAUGUGGAUGUGAGGCCAGGGAGUCUACAACAUGGAGUCCAGUUUUCUACAGUCUUGUCAUCCCUACAUGCAGGGAUUACAAGAAGAUCAUCCCUUUUUACGACAGGUCACCCCUGGCAACAGAACCCUCCCUCUUUAUGACAUGUCACCCCUGGCAACAGAACCCUCCCUCUUUAUGACAGGUCAACCCUGGUAACAAGAACCUCCAUGUUAGUGUCUGACUUCUGUCAGUUAGCCUUCCUUACCUGCUGUUUGUCAGGCCUGACAACACACCUGGUUGCAGCUGUGCCCUUAACUGAGAUAAUGUCUGCGCAAAGGCCGAGCAAUCAGAAGCAGCGGCUGAUUCACCUGCCCAAUCAGUGCAGAGAAACUGCCACCAGACGUAUGUACUGCAAGACUGACUGAAUGAGGCUGGCCUACAACACAACAGCUGGCGCUCAGAUGUUGGGCCCUCUGCUGGCUGAGUUUCAUUGUGGUUCUUUGUGUUACAUCAAAAGUAACGUUAAAUUGUUCGUAUUUAAUGCUGAAGCAGGGAACAGAAAAGCCGGCUUUAUAUUUAAGUGAGCACAUAGUUCUUUCUGUGUUGGUGUCAAUAAAUAGUUUGUGCAUCUUUUUUUGGACCAGAGGGUUGUUGGUUCAGUGAGUGAGAUGCUGCUGUUGCUCUCCAAGGGGAGGUACCUGUAAUGUAUUAGCUGU